UCUGAAACAGGAAUGACCAGUCGAUCCGAAACUCAAACAUAUUUGUUUAUGUUUGAGGUCCAAUUAAACACUCACAAGUUUAUGUUUGAGGUCCACCAGCAUAUUUGUUUUCAGAAUUGACAGCUGCCCAUAAUAUUCAACCAUCUACAUAUUAGAAUUUAUUUGAGGGAUCCUUCAAUGCACAUAAAAUAAAUUUGAGGAAAUUGCAUUGCAGAUGCUAAAGUUGCACUAUGGUAAAAGCGCAUAUCUGUUAGUACAGUACUAAUUCGGUGAGCAUCUACUAGUGUUUUAGUUUGCAACUCUGAAGCUCUCAUUUCUCAUUGACAUGGAUAACUCUGAAACUGAAACUCACCUGACAGUAUCAGCAUGGUAGAAACUCACCUGACAGUAUAUGCAUCUGUGUUGAUAAUAUCUCUUUGACAGGUGCAAUUUGCUCAUAGUAUGUAAUGCCCAUUUCUUCCUUUCUGGUUUUUCACAAACUAUACAUUAGCUGAUAAUUCUUAUUGAGCAUCUCAACUUAUGUGCCCUGUGUUCCUUUGAAUGAACAUUUUUUAGUGACUUAGAUGAGGAUAUCAAUGAUGAUGGAGAGGACUAUGUGAGCGAGGAAGACGACUAUGUGAGCGGAAGACGACUAUGUUAGUUUCUAAGAUGACUACAUGAGUGAUGAAGAAGACUUGCUGAUUGAAGAAGAUGAGUAUGAUGAGAAGAAAGAAAGUUAAUUAUUGUAAAUAUAAUUCUCUUUUGAAUUCCAAAAGUGGCCAGUUCCAGGUGAUGCUGAUCACUGAUGUUGUACCAUCUCAGUCGUUUGGGUUCAACUGAAGGUGAUGCUGCUCAGUGAUGAUGUUCAAAGUGGAAAUAUGGUGAUGAUUUUGACAGUAUACAAACUGAGAGUGUCAAAAUUUUCGUCUCCGUUUUGCUGAAUCAAAUUACUACAAACUGAGAGUGUCAUAAUUUUCGUCUCCGGUUUGCUCCGUGAGACAUAGUGAGAUAUUAUAUUGAAC